CCAGCAGCCGCGGUAAUUCCAGCUCCAAUAGUGUAUAUUAUUUUUGCUGUAGUUAAAAAGCUCGUAGUUGGAUUUCGGGAGUUUAGCCCGUCAAGGCCGACCUAAAUGGUUUUUGGUCCGACGUUGGCACUUCCUCUUUUCGGACAGCGGCUCUCUUUUGGGAGUUGUUUCCGAUAAUUUACCGUGAACAAAUUAGAGUGUUCAAAGCAGGUUUUCAACUUUGCCUUUGAAUAGUUUAGCAUGGGAUAAUAGAAUAGGACCUCGGUUUUAUUUUGUUGGUUUCUAAAGCUGAGGUAAUGAUUAAUAGGAACAGUUGGGGUCGCUCGUAUUGAGUGGUCAGAGGUGAAAUUCUGGGAUUCACUCAAGACGAACUGAUGCGAAAGCGUUC
rnacentral:rRNA from 1 species